ACCUGGGGAGAGAGAAGAUAGAGGUCAAAAGAGCAAUUACAUUUCACAUUGACUCCAGGAAAGGCUUGGAACACAAAACUGAAAAGAAAAACAGCAUAGAGCUUCACUCUUUCACAUUCCUUUUCUGGUCAUUAUUAUUAAAACAGUGCAGCAACCAUGUCCAUUAUAAGCAUUAUAACAUGAAGAACCAUUUUCCUCCACUGGAUGAGAUCUUUCUUCCCAGACAUUUAGCACUGUCAGCAUAUUCCAAAGGAAUGUAAAUGAGAUACACCACAUAUAACCAGACACAAGCACUGUGUGCAAUUGUACUCAAGGACAGGAUGCAGCCCUUUUGUGCACAUUCUUAGGAAAUUGCAAAGCACCACUAAUUGAUCCAGUUUCCACUAAAUUGACAAUACAACAAGCCCGGAUGAUACUACAAAUCAGGAUAUAAAGGGCCAUUAUAUAAGACAGAUGAGGUUCUUCAAAGAGAUGCAAUAUACGUGAACACAAAUGGAUGAAGGGUAACCAUUUUGUUCAGUAAUUUGAAAAAAAUAUAUUUUAAGUACAUUCUUUUUAUUAACAGCGACCUAAUACAAAUGCAUUCUUAGUAAGUAA